CGGUCGUCUCGACGAAACCCCACCCACGCCGCCGUCGCGUUGCGCCCAGCGCCCCACAUUUGCCAUGGCCUCCACCGCGCGCCGCCUCUCCAGCAUCUUCUCCUCGACCAAACCACGUGCCCGACCAACCAAAUCCGCGCCCGCGCCCGCGCCCGCGCCUGCGCCUGCCCCGAAAGCGGCCGCCGGCGAGGCGAAGGCGAAACCCAACAAGGGUCGCAAGAUGUCCAUCGGCAAAAUCGUGCGGACCGUCAUCCGGCAGCGCGAUCCGGACAAGCUGGUGUUCCAGUUCGUCGCCGCGUCGACCGCGUCCCAGAGAUUCCGCGACAAGCACGGCGUGUACGAGAUGGCCGUGGCCCGCCUCGCUUCCUUCGGCCGCCAGGACGCCGUCGCGGCCAUCCUCGACUCCCAGAAGCCCUUCCUCGAGGCCUCCACCGAGGGAUUCGCCACGCGCCUCGUCCGCCUCUACGGCCGCGCCUCCAUGCCGUCCCACGCCGCCGCGACCUUCCAUGACCUUCCGUUAAAGCACAAAUCCGUCAUGACCUUCAACGCCCUCCUCACCGCCUACGUCGACGCCGGCGACUUCGAUGCGCUCGCCACCGCGUUCCAGCAGAUCCCGGCCUCAUACCCCACCAUUGUCCCCAGUGUUUCCUCUUACAACAUUCUCAUCAGCGCGCUGUGCCAGAAGCCGGACCUCUCGGCCGCCCUCGACGUCAUCGGGCUCAUGGACAAGUGCGGUCUUACCCCCGAAGAGAUAACUUUCAACACUCUGCUUAAUGGGUUUUACAACAGUGGUUGCGUUGAUGAUGCCGAGAAAGUCUGGGAGAUGAUGAAGGAGAGGAAUGUUAAGCCGGGUACAGAGAGCUACAAUGCAAAGCUGCGGGGUUUGGUUUCCAAUGGAAGUAUUGAGGAUGCAAUUGGUUUGAUUGAGAUGAUGCAGAAGGAUGGGCCCAAACCUGAUUCAGUGUCCUACAAUGAACUUAUUCGAUGGUAUUGCAACGAAGGCAGGUUGGAUGAGGCCAAGAAAGCAUAUGUUGAUCUGGUAAAGAAUGAUUGUGCACCAAAUAGGGGCACAUUUCAUACCCUUGUGCCAUGUCUUCUUGAGGCUGGGGAGCUUGAUUCUGCUCUAAGAUGCUGCUAUGAGAUCCUUAGUAGGAAGUGCAAAGUGCAAUGCUCGUUACUGCAACGGGUAGUGACUGCAUUGGUUGCUGCCUCAAGGGUGGAGGAGGCUAAGAGGAUUGUUGAGCAUGGGAGGAAGAACUUCUAUCAUCGGAAGAGUUUGAGGAUGCCACCACAUACUAGAGAAGACAUGUGUUUGAAGAUGCCACCUACUGGAGAAGACAUUAAUGCCAGGGGCGGAUCCAGCAGUGGGUCUGGAGGGGCUCGAGCCCCUCCUACCGCUGGAAAUCCCAUGAAGCCCCCCCCCCCCCCCCCCCAACCACUAAGCCCCUCCUACAAAUUUGUGGAAGAAGAAUGAGGGAAGAAGAGCAUGAAAGCCCCUCCUAAACUCAAUCCUGCCUCCGCCACUGAUUGAUGCAGAAGCUGAAGCUGACUGGGAAGAUUCCGCAUUGGAUGAAGAGGGGUCUGAGGAGGAAGCAUCUAGAAUGGAGGAAUAUGGGAGUCCUGCUGUUGAAAGUGGUGAGGCUGGCACAGAAUUGGAUAAUUCUGUGCCCGGCCAGUGCCAACAAGGAGGAGGACCUCGCGGCGCAUCUGGCAGAUUUGUCUGCUAUGGCAAAAAGACCAGAAAUGAUUCUGGAGGGGUGAUAGCCAUGAAGCUCUGCUCCGGCGAAGACUUGUUUUCUACUCCUGUGAAGUCGACAAUGAGCUUGAAGGACUGGGUGUCGCAGGUGCGGGAGAUGGAUUUGCUCUCCGUUGGUGGUCCGACUGAGCUCUGGUGAUCUUCAGUGGUGGUGUUCCUUUUUUAGCUCCUCUAUUUUUUUCUACAGAAUUGUCUCGAGUUUUUGAUGAGCUUUCAGUGAACUGUGGGCUGUCCCCAGAAACUGCGCUGUAAAUGUUCUCGUCUUUUACCACGGGGCAUGAGCCCUAAUGUUGUAAGAAGGAAGUUGAAAGGGAUGCCGCGAAAGAGAGGCCCAGAGGAACUGAAAGGG